GCUAGCUCGUUUUUUGCACCAAAGGAAAGCUAAGGGAACCUCCUAAAAUGCCAUGUACGGGUAGAGAAGAGAUCACGGUUGAUAACAACAAACAAAAAGCUUCCAUGAAAAUCUAUAUAGGCAGACUUCGAAGAUAUUGGAGAUUUGGUUCCAGACC